AUGGCGAUAAAUCGCGCGACCAAGACGGGGGAGAGCGACGCCGUGCGGCGAGGAAUUUCAGUCGCUGUUGCGUCGAUAGCUCGUGCGACCGCGGCGGGGAAGAGACACGUCCACGCGACGAGGGAGCCUAGCCGCUCGCUGCUGACAGCUCGCGCGACUGCGGCCUGUGCAGCAGAGGCGCGUCCGCACGACUACGGAGCUAAGUCGCUAGCUGAAGGCUUACGUCCAGCACAACAAUGGAUGCAACCUGUUUGUGGGACUGCCGGAGACUUAGAAGUUCAAUUCAACAAAGCUGCCAACAUCUUUCCGUGCAAACGUACAAAAACUCAAACCGUCACCCCCAUCUCGUUUUGGUGUCCUUUCUUUAAAGCAUGGCAAAAAAAUGUGUCGCCUCUGUUUUAUAUAGACCAGCAAUUUUUCACUGGGACAGAAAUAUUGCCUACAACGGCAAACUAA
rnacentral:rRNA from 1 species